rfam:Ovis aries breed Texel chromosome 4, whole genome shotgun sequence.
UUCCUGGUGGUCUAGUGGUUAAGACUCCACGCUUCCAAAGCAGGGUGCCCAGGUUCAAUCCCAGGUCAGGGAU